GUUGGCGGUCUGCAGUAACUCCCUGCCCUUAUUGCGCACUACCCAGAUAGGAUCGAUCUGCAUCGUCCCCUUUGGAACUUCCUCAGGUCAGUCUCACUGAUGGCCAUCUGGAAUAAUCCACCCCA